CUCUUUCCCUCAUUCUUUGUCCUUUUUGUUUCUGCAAGUUCGACCGUGAAUAUGGACAGUACGAGGAGUGGAGGGUGGAGGCGAAAAAGCAUCGAGUCGGGGUUUUAUAGGGUGUUUUUUUUUUCUUUCGGUCACUAUCUCUCUUAUUCCUUCACUAGAUCCUUUUUCAUUUUUGGAGGUUCAAAAGUAAGGGGCAGUUGAAGGGGCGAAGUGCCCAUUGUUCUUGGAUUUUUAGGCUCGCUUGAUCUCUGUUUUGGAUAUUCAGGUGGACAGUGUUGCAUUUCUUGGGUUGAGUAGCUCUGGUGUAAUUGAAAUGGUUAAAAAAUGAAAUAAUGCUGGUGAUUCUAAGCCCAUUGCCGACCUGGUUCUUUUUCUAAUUUGUGUAGUUCUCCUCGAUGUCCAAGGGGAGGAUUGAAGAGCACGACAGCUAGGACCAAGAAAAACACUAAGAUUCAUGUAUUUUAGUGUUUUUAGUUUCUUAUUUUCAAUAUUCUUUGUAGAUAUAGUUUUUAUUUGUUUUGUUUGUAUUUUAGUAUGAUGUUUAGUUUAUUUUUUGUUAAUGAUUUUUUAAAGGUAACAGUAACAAUGCUGAGUAAACAGUUACUUUAUGUUGUUUAGUAUUUUUUUAAGUUGUUGUUGGUUUAGAGGUAACUGGUGACUUUGUGUACAUUACUAUUUUUCAUGUGUUGGCUAAUUGUUAAGGUAACUGGUUACUUUGAUAGUAUGUUGUUGAUGAUGUUAAGUAACCAGCUCCUCUUUGAUGUUUAGAGUUUUUCAAUUUUCUGUUUUGAGGGAUCUGCAUAUCUUUUCUACUUGAUUUUUACUCAGUCCCUCGCUAAUCACAGCUGCAUUCCCAAAGUUUUCUUUCUUUCUUUCAUUCCCUUACUGUAUAGGUCUCCAGCAGAUAUUUUCUUAUCUUUUUUUAUUUGCAUAUGUUUUCUACUUGAUUUUUAGCUUUAUUGUAUAAUUCUAUUUCUAGUUUGCUCUUUAGAUCUGGAGUUUUUUUUUUUUUUUGAGUAUUUUCUCAUAAACUAUAUUAGGUAUCUCAGUUUCUUUGGUAUGAAUAGUAUUUGUUUUGUUUCUUUACCUUGAAGUAUAUCAUAGAAGAAAAAUCGUUUUCUUCCCAGUUAAAUCCAAGUUGAAGUUUAUGGAGUUUUAGAAGGCACUUAAUUAAUUUUUCUUCCUCAUGGUUGUAAUUCAAUUCUUGGUUUGGACUCUUUUAAGUUGAAUUACUCCUCACUUGAUCUCACUCCCAACUGAACACUCCAUUCAGUUUAUUACAUCUAUAUAUGUGUUGUUUCAAUGCUAUGUAACAAGUUAUUUUAUGUUGUUUAGUGUUUUUUCGUUGGCUUAGAGGUAACUGGUUACUUUAAUAUUACGUAUCAUGUUAAAGAAACUAGUUUCUUUGAUUUUUGGAGUUUGUUGUUGUUGAUGUUAAGUAACCAGUUCCUCUUUUAUGUUCAGUGCUUUUCCAUUUUAUGAUGGCUAUAAAACUAUUGAUUUUCUAUCCAAUUUUAUUGCUAAGUAACCAGUUACUUUAUUCUGUUUUUCUUUUUUGUGGUAUUUAUUUUUAUGUGUGGUUUUCUGUUUGGCAAGAGCAUUGCUUCAUUGUAUGAAACUUUUCAAAAGUCAGGUUGGGAUGAGUUUUAAGUUGAGGACAAUAGUGUUGCUUGUAAGAUUAUAAAUGGUGGGUGUAUCUUUUGCAACACUCAUGAGAUUCAUCUAGAUCAUGUUCUUAUCCCUGUUAAUGUGGAAAGUCUUCAGCAUUGGAUUAUCUUACAUUUUGAUAUAAAUGAGAGAAAUCUUUUGUGUAUGAUUCAAUGUCUGGUGCAAGGCAUGAAACUCGCACUUUACAUGUUGAAGCUUUUGUUGUUCUGAUUCUUGUUUUGUUAGAAAAGAUUGGUUUCUAUUUUGAACGUUUGGAUAUUGAUAUCGACAUCGACGUUAGUCCUUAUGAUGUGCCUGAAAAUACUCCUUUGAAAGUGUCUCUUGCUAUAGGCAUUCAUCAACAAACUGAUUGGUGAGUUGUUGAUUAUGAUUUUAGAUUUUUUUCUUCUUAGUUUUUAUUUGUUUUGUAAUAUGCAGUGACUGUGGGGUUUUUGUUUCCCUGUUUGUUGAGCAACUAAUUCUUAGGAAGGAGAAAAGGAUGCGCCUAAAAGUUGAUGUUGUUCUCCUUCGUAAAGAUAUUAUUGUCAAAUUUGCUGAAAGUGCUGGUAGAAGUUAGCUUAUGAACACGAAAAUCAUGAAGAAAUGAAUUUUGUUAAUGAACCUUCUUGAAUCUUUCACACUAAAGCUGACAAGGAAUAGUGGGUGAAGCCUCGGACUGAUUUUAGUAACUCAACAUUAUAACGCGUUCUACAAUAGUAAAAUGCUAUAGUUCUUUAUAUUUAUUUAUUUGAAAGAUAAUUGUUCUAGCAUACACGAUAAAUAAAGCUUGCUUAGCUAAAUCA